rnacentral:rRNA from 1 species
UACGUAGGGUGCAAGCGUUGUCCGGAAUUAUUGGGCGUAAAGAGCUCGUAGGCGGUCUGUCGCGUCUGCUGUGAAAACUCGGGGCUUAACCCCGGGCCUGCAGUGGGUACGGGCAGACUAGAGUGCGGUAGGGGAGACUGGAAUUCCUGGUGUAGCGGUGAAAUGCGCAGAUAUCAGGAGGAACACCGGUGGCGAAGGCGGGUCUCUGGGCCGUAACUGACGCUGAGGAGCGAAAGCGUGGGGAGCGAUCAGG